GAUGAACGCUCACUACAGGCUUAACACAUGCAAGUCGAGGGGAAACGGCAUUGAGUGCUUGCACUCUUUGGACGUCGACCGGCGCACGGGUGAGUAACGCGUAUCCAACCUUCCCAUUACUGUGGGAUAACCUGCCGAAAGGCAGACUAAUACCGCAUAGUCUUCGAUGACGGCAUCAGAUUUGAAGUAAAGAUUUAUCGGUAAUGGAUGGGGAUGCGUCUGAUUAGCUUGUUGGCGGGGUAACGGCCCACCAAGGCUACGAUCAGUAGGGGUUCUGAGAGGAAGGUCCCCCACAUUGGAACUGAGACACGGUCCAAACUCCUACGGGAGGCAGCAGUGAGGAAUAUUGGUCAAUGGACGGAAGUCUGAACCAGCCAAGUAGCGUGCAGGAUGACGGCCCUAUGGGUUGUAAACUGCUUUUGUAUGGGGAUAAAGUUAGGGACGUGUCCCUAUUUGCAGGUACCAUACGAAUAAGGACCGGCUAAUUCCGUG
rnacentral:rRNA from 1 species